rnacentral:rRNA from 1 species
UACGUAGGGUCCGAGCGUUGUCCGAAAUUACUGGGCGUAAAGGGCGCGUAGGCGGCGUGUCAAGUCGAUUGUGAAAUCUCCGGGCUUAACUCGGAACGGCCAAUCGAUACUGACGUGCUAGAGUGCAGAAAGGGCAAUCGGAAUUCUUGGUGUAGCGGUGAAAUGCGUAGAUAUCAAGAGGAACACCUGAGGCGAAGGCGGGUUGCUAGGCUGACACUGACGCUGAGUGCGCGAAAGCCAGGGGAGCAAACGGG